UCCGUAGAGUUCUCUAGAGACCAGCCCAGCACAGCUGCUUAGAUCCAGACAUCCGCUAAAUCCCCUUCCCCGCACCUCCACCGGACUUGCCUCCACUUCCACCACGUCGUCGACCCGUGCCGCCUCCCCUGCGCUUGCCGCUGCUAUUUUCCGCCUCCUUCCGCGUAUUGCCCUCUCCAAGUGGAACCCGUCCAAGCGCGGGACCUUUUUCCGCUCGCUGUCUCCGACCUCGGCACCGGCGAGCUCGCGCCCAUGGAGGAUGCCGUCGGCGAGCCCGCAGUCAUGGAGGGAGUCAUCGGUGAUAUUUCCCGCGACGGAUUCCGUAUCGACUCGGCCAACGGCAACGCCUUCAUGCGCCAGUUCUUUGGUCUUUUAUUGUUCGUUGCUCAUAAGAUUGUGAACUCAUUUUUUUUCGAUAACAAAGAUUGUGAACUCAUGCAUUCUUCCGUCAGGUUCUGAACCAUCACCAUGCAAUCUCUUGUUUUUAUUACAUGGCCUAUCAACCUGUUUUGGUUCAAUGAUGUUUUUCUCUAAUUUUGCUUCCAUUGAUUCUGGUUUUCCCGUGCCUUUUUAUGUAUAGGUCCGUUUAUGAAUGCGUGCAGUGGUCCCGUCGCCUCCACCGGUUCCGCGUCUGCAUCUUCGUCUUGACAAUGUUAUUGGCUGGUAGAUGAUCUGGUUCUCUUGCUGCUAUGCGUGCAGGGGCGUGAAAGAUCUGCAGGUUGUGGAAGUGCUGCUACGCUUGCAAGGCGAGGUACAUCACUAGGUCGUGGAUAGACUAUGGAGUAGGUCUCCACUCUAUACGUGCAUGAGGCCGCGGUCUCAGCUGUUCAAUAUUUGCAUGUUCUGCCUUCUACUUGGCUUAGUUAAAAUUGGCGAGGCGUGCAUCAGAAACUAAGAGCUGCAGCCGGUGGGCUUUGCUUUCGAUUUUCAGUUAUCGGCAUUAAACUGACUACUGGUUCCUGUUUUAUCUGAAUUUGCUAGCUGAUGAAUUGAGAUCAAUGGUAUGUCUGAAAUGUUUCUAGGUAUUCUGAAUUUUAGUGUUAUUGCCUUUCAUCCUAUAAAGUGCCUGUAUUAUAAAUUCACUACUGUACAUGUUGCCGGUGAAUUUGUCACUGGACAGGAAUACACUGGAUGGUUAGUUUAUGCACAUUUUACUGUUACAUUUAUUCUUCUUGUUUUUAAAAAAAAAAAUUAAUACAUGAAUGGCUUAUUACUGAUGCAUUUUAAACUGUUGCAUUCUUGCAACAGAAAUUGACAGGUUUUCUGACAGGAUGAUUUCAAUACACACGUUCCUCAGAUUAGGCAGACACGUUUGUGUGCGGUGGUGAGUUAGGACUGUUCGUGGCUUCCCAUGUCUUCAAAUACGACCAAGAGUACGACAAAGAAGAUCCAGUAUGAGUUCAGUAUCAUGGCUUUGGCCAUUAUGAUUCCCUACAGAUUGCACAUCGAUCUGCAAUGAUAAGAAUGUAUAAUAUUGGAGUUCGAAAUUCAAAAGGUAUGGUCAAGGUAUUAUAGUCUUUGUCUUUCCAUAUCUAUACAUUGUUGAGUGAUACAGUGAGAGUGAAUUUUAAAUUUUUAGCCUCAAUGUGCAUUACAAGCUUUGCAGCAUUAGCUAUGUCAAGAACCCAGAUUCGGAUGUCCUUUGUUGAACUAGAAUGAAUGAUAGUGGACAAACCAUACUUUAAAAAUAUUUUUCAAACGUUCCUUUGAUCUACUUUGAAUGUAUCAUGAUGCCUCUUCGGCUUUUGUUUAACAUUACGGGAUCUUGGAUUGCGUAAACGAUGCCAUUAUGAUAUAUACUCCCUCCGGUCGGAUUUAAUCGACGCGGAGGGAGGCUUCCGCAUGCAUCUCAUUAGCAGGAGUGUGCGUCAAUUAAUUGAGUCCCGAGGUAGUAAUAUUCAGUUCAAUAUUUCCUUUGGCUGUUAAUUUUUAGAUACCUACACGGAAAUUUGUGUUUGAGUACUUUUUUUUUGGAAAACGAUAUGAUUCGAGCAAAAGCUAACUACAACAUAUCAUAUCUCUUUUUUCUCUAUACGCAUACAUCUCUUUCAGAAAUGCACAUGGAUAGGAGAAAGAAGUUAAAUCGUAUGAGAUGAUUCUUAUUGUUCUAUUUUUUGUGGUCUACUGAUAUAUUUUGGAUUCUUUUCAUUUGUUGUAUUUCUUUUAGGUUUGCAUAGGAAUUGUUCAACUGUUCCUGGACCUUUGCCCUUAAUUGAUUGGCAGACACGUUUAUCUGCUGGUUAGCCUUUGAUGGUGAUAACCCUUUCUUUAUUUACAGUGUUCGUUUCAUGCAGACGAAACUAGGUAGCUUACAUCUCUCUGUUGUUGCACAUUUUGAGCUAAACAGACUUCUUGUCAUGUGCUUCUCUAUUUCGUCUGAUGGAUUAUUUUAUCUGUCACUUCUAUACCUUGGCACAUCUGUAGUUCUUUGUUAGUUCAAAUCUUAAAGUAAGCUUUAGUUAAAUAAAAUAUGUUUCAUCUGACCAUAAGACAUUAAUUCUAAACUUUUCUCCUUGCAGUAAAUACCAAGAUUUCACCUCCAGCAACAGGUAAGCUAACCUAAAAGAGAGAAGGAAAUAAGUAUUCAAACUGAUGAGGCAGAUAAUCUGCAUCGAGGUAUCCAUUUUGUCAGCACCUGCCAUCGAAAAUACCGUGUAAAAUGUUAUCUUUCUACCUACUGAUUUAGCAAGUCUAAAAACUAUCAAUGUGCCCUCAUAUCAAUCCCUUAAGUAUCCAUAUAAUGCUACACAUUUUUUAACCACCUACCUAUUGCUGUAAAAAGCCUGCACACUACCAAUGAACCCUAACAUCAAGUAGGUAAGUAUCCAUGCAUAAGCAUAAUAUUUUUGUACUCGGUUUGGUCCCAAUGUGCUUAAGUAUCCCAUUUCAUUGAUUUUCUGAACCAUCAAUAACCGAGAUAGGAUUUUCAGUUGGUUUAGGGUCACAUAUAUCAUGCCUCAGUAUGUAGAGUUCUCAAAUAAAUCAUGACUAGGAGGUAUUCCGCCUUUUGCUAUUUUGUUUUUGUUUUGAUUCACUAUCUUCUGAAUCUACUCAUUCUGUUCCUUCUUCAGUUGUUUUACGUCCAUAUGUCUUUUGCUCUUUUUUCUUGAACAUACAAAGCAGUUUGUUAGUUUUGGAAUUUGUGUAUUGUGAUUAAAGUAGGGAACACCCUGUAUUUUACAGAUUUUUUAUCUAUACAGUUACAUAUGUGGCAUUUUUAAAUUUAUCAAGGUGUUAUGGCAUUCAUCCUUGAGACCAAGAUGCAAAAUGCCAAGCAACAGUGUAAUAUAAAAAGCUCAUUGUUUGUCUAAGCUGGCACUUACAGAAAAGGUAUUCGUGGCUAAAUGUCUACUGAAAGCAGAAUUACAGGGACUGAAACAGGAUUCCUUACAGAGGGAGAAAAAAGGUCUACGGCAUGUCUCCACAAAGUGACAUACAUAGAAGCCAAGGAAAGCAACAAAAUGAAGGGCUGACAAUAAAAAUGUAUUUAAUUAAUUCAUAUAUUCAGGAAUAUAUGCACAUGUUACCACUCACUAUGUUGAUUUUGUGAUAUAUUGAAAUUGAUGUUAGCGAAGAUGGUUAUUUUUUGUACAGGAUCUUAUAG